rnacentral:rRNA from 1 species
GAUGAACGCUGGCGGCGUGCCUCAAACAUGCAAGUCGAGCGAGGCUAUGAAUUACCGCAAGGUAAGGCAUAGCCUAGCGGCGAACGGGUGAGUAACACGUGGGUAACCUACCUGGAAGACAGGGAUAACGAUUCGAAAGGGUCGCUAAUACCUGAUAAUAUCCGUCUGCCGGAUGGCGGAGGGAAGAAAGGGGAAACCCGCUUUCAGAUGGGCCCGCGUCCCAUCAGCUAGUUGGUAAGGUAAAGGCUUACCAAGGCGACGACGGGUAGCCGGUCUGAGAGGAUGUACGGCCACACUGGGACUGAGAUACGGCCCAGACUCCUACGGGAGGCAGCAGUUGGGAAUCUUAGGCAAUGGACGAAAGUCUGACCUAGCGACGCCGCGUGAGGGAAGAAGGCCUUCGGUUGUAAACCUCUGUCAUGGGGAAGAAGGAAGUGACGGUACCCGAAGAGGAAGCCCUGCUAACUACGUG